rnacentral:rRNA from 1 species
GUGCCAGCCGCCGCGGUAAGACGAACCGUGCGAACGUUAUUCGGAAUCACUGGGCUUAAAGCGCGUGUAGGCGGAUGAGCACGUCUGUCGCUGAAAUCCCCCGGCUCAACCGGGGAACGGGCGCGGAUACGGCUUGUCUGGAGGGGUGUAGGGGGACCUGGAACUUCCGGUGGAGCGGUGAAAUGCGUUGAGAUCGGAAGGAACGCCCGUGGCGAAAGCGAGGUCCUGGACGCCUACUGACGCUGAGACGCGAAAGCCAGGGGAGCGAACGGGAUUAGAAACCCUUGUAGUCC